GACGAACGCUGGCGGCGUGCCUAAUACAUGCAAGUUGAGCGAUGAAGAUUGGUGCUUGCACCAAUUUGAAGAGCAGCGAACGGGUGAGUAACGCGUGGGGAAUCUGCCUUUGAGCGGGGGACAACAUUUGGAAACGAAUGCUAAUACCGCAUAACAACUUUAAACAUAAGUUUUAAGUUUGAAAGAUGCAAUUGCAUCACUCAAAGAUGAUCCCGCGUUGUAUUAGCUAGUUGGUGAGGUAAAGGCUCACCAAGGCGAUGAUACAUAGCCGACCUGAGAGGGUGAUCGGCCACAUUGGGACUGGGACACGGCCCAAACUCCUACGGGAGGCAGCAGUAGGGAAUCUUCGGCAAUGGACGAAAGUCUUACCGAGCAACGCCGCGUGAGUGAAGAAGGUUUUCGGAUCGUAAAACUCUGUUGGUAGAGAAGAACGUUAGUGAGAGUGGAAAGCUCAUCAAGUGACGGUAACUACCCAGAAAGGGACGGCUAACUACGUG
rnacentral:rRNA from 1 species